rnacentral:rRNA from 1 species
GAAAGCCUGACGGAGCAACGCCGCGUGCGGGAGGACGGUUUGUGGACUGUAAACCGCUUUUAAUAGGGAAGAAGUACUGACGGUACCUAUUGAAUAAGCAUCGGCUAACUCCGUGCCAGCAGCCGCGGUAAUACGGAGGAUGCAAGCGUUAUCCGGAAUUAUUGGGCGUAAAGGGUCCGCAGGUGGCUCAUCAAGUCAGCUGUUAAAGACUGGGGCUUAACUCCGGAGUGGCAGUUGAAACUGAUGGACUAGAGUACGGUAGGGGUAGAGGGAAUUCCUAGUGUAGCGGUGAAAUGCGUAGAUAUUAGGAAGAACACCAGUGGCGAAGGCGCUCUACUGGGCCUGUACUGACACUGAGGGACGAAAGCUAGGGGAGCG